rnacentral:rRNA from 1 species
GACGAACGCUGGCGGCGUGCUUAACACAUGCAAGUCGAACGGAAAGGCCCUGCUUUUGUGGGGUGCUCGAGUGGCGAACGGGUGAGUAACACGUGAGUAACCUGCCCUUGACUUUGGGAUAACUUCAGGAAACUGGGGCUAAUACCGGAUAGGAGCUCCUGCUGCAUGGUGGGGGUUGGAAAGUUUCGGCGGUUGGGGAUGGGUUCGCGGCUUAUCAGCUUGUUGGUGGGGUAGUGGCUUACCAAGGCUUUGACGGGUAGCCGGCCUGGGAGGGGGACCGGCCACAAUGGGACUGAGAUACGGCCCAGACUCCUACGGGAGGCAGCAGUGGGGAGUAUUGCGCAGUGGGCGGAAGCGUGAUGCGACAACGCCGCGUGCGGGAUGACGGCCUUCGGGUUGUAAACCGCUUUCGCCUGUGACGAAGCGUGAGUGACGGUAAUGAGUAAAGAAGCACCGGCUAACUACGUG